GUUACAGCCGCCGCGGUAAGACGAACCGUGCGAACGUUAUUCGGAAUCACUGGGCUUAAAGCGCGUGUAGGCGGGUCGGUACGUCGGACGCUGAAAUCCCCCGGCUCAACCGGGGAACGGGCGCCGAAACGGCUGGCCUGGAGGGGGGUAGGGGAAUCGGGAACUUCCGGUGGAGCGGUGAAAUGCGUUGAGAUCGGAAGGAACGCCCGUGGCGAAAGCGCGAUUCUGGACCCUUACUGACGCUGAGACGCGAAAGCCAGGGGAGCGAACGGGAUUAGAUACCCGGGUAGUCC
rnacentral:rRNA from 1 species